UGGAUGCUGACGAGCGGCGGACGGGUGAGUAAUGCAUAGGAAUCUGCCCGAUAGUGGGGGAUAACCUGGGGAAACCCAGGCUAAUACCGCAUACGUCCUACGGGAGAAAGGGGGCUCCGGCUCCCGCUAUGGGAUGAGCCUAUGUCGGAUUAGCUAGUUGGUGAGGUAACGGCUCACCAAGGCCACGAUCCGUAGCUGGUCUGAGAGGAUGAUCAGCCACAUCGGGACUGAGACACGGCCCGAACUCCUACGGGAGGCAGCAGUGGGGAAUAUUGGACAAUGGGGGAAACCCUGAUCCAGCCAUGCCGCGUGUGUGAAGAAGGCCCUCGGGUUGUAAAGCACUUUCAGCGAGGAAGAACGCCUAACGGUUAAUACCCGCUAGGAAAGACAUCACUCGCAGAAGAAGCACCGGCUAACUCCGUGCCAGCAGCCGCGGUAAUACGGAGGGUGCAAGCGUUAAUCGGAAUUACUGGGCGUAAAGCGCGCGUAGGUGGCUUGAUAAGCCGGUUGUGAAAGCCCCGGGCUCAACCUGGGAACGGCAUCCGGAAC
rnacentral:rRNA from 1 species